CAAGGCUGAAACUCAAAGGAAUUGACGGGCACCCGCACAAGCGGUGGAGCAUGCUGUUUAAUUCGAAGAUACGCGAAGAACCUUACCUAGACUUGACAUCCCCGGCAAAGCUAUAGAAAUAUAGUCGAGGUUACCCGGGUGACAGGUGGUGCAUGGUUGUCGUCAGCUCGUGUCGUGAGAUGUUCGGUUAAGUCCGAUAACGAGCGCAACCCUUGUCAUUAGUUACUAACAUUCAGUUGAGUUCUCUAAUGAGACUGCCGAUGAUAAAUCGGAGGAAGGUGGGGAUGACGUCAAAUCAUCAUGCCCCUUACGUCUAGGGCUACAGGCGUGCUACAAUGGCCGAUACAAAAAGAAGCGAUACCGUGAGGUGGAGCAAAUCUCUAAAAUCGGUCUCAGUUCGGAUUGGAGUCUGCAACUCGACUCCAUGAAGUUGGAAUCGCUAGUAAUCCUGAAUCAGAAUGUCAGGGUGAAUACGUUCCCGGGUGUUGUACACACCGCCCGUCACGCUAUGGGAGUCUGUAAUACCCGAAGUCGAUAGCCUAACCUUUUAGGAGGGGGUCGAUGAAGGUAGGACAGGUGACUGGAGUGAAGUCGUAACAAGGUAUCCUUACCGGAAGGUGAGGAUGGAUCACCUCCUUU
rnacentral:rRNA from 1 species